rnacentral:rRNA from 1 species
CUACGUGCCAGCAGCCGCGGUAAUACGGAAGGUUCGGGCGUUAUCCGGAUUUAUUGGGUUUAAAGGGAGCGUAGGCCGGAGAUUAAGUGUGUUGUGAAAUGUAGACGCUCAACGUCUGACUUGCAGCGCAUACUGGUUUCCUUGAGUACGCACAACGUUGGCGGAAUUCGUCGUGUAGCGGUGAAAUGCUUAGAUAUGACGAAGAACUCCGAUUGCGAAGGCAGCUGACGGGAGCGCAACUGACGCUGAAGCUCGAAGGUGCGGGUAUCGAACAGGAUUAGAUACCCUGGUAGUCCGCACAGUAAACGAUGGAUGCCCGCUGUUGGUACCUAGUAUCAGCGGCUAAGCGAAAGCAUUAAGCAUCCCACCUGGGGAGUACGCCGGCAACGGUGAAACUCAAAGGAAUUGACGGGGGCCCGCACAAGCGGAGGAACAUGUGGUUUAAUUCGAUGAUACGCGAGGAACCUUACCCGGGCUUGAAUUGCAGAGGAAGGAUUUAGAGAUA